AUGAAAAAAGUAGUUGCGCUAGUGAAACUUCCAUCCUAUAUCAACGAAAGGAUACAUUUUUUUUUUUUUAACGAAUGUCUUCAAAAUGCUGCUUCGAUGUUGCAAAACAGGGCGAGGCAAGCCGCGAGUCCUCAACGGUCAUCCCUGUCCGUGCAAACCGGAUGGAUGGAGCCUGUGACGCAUGGAGUCAAUAUGUUUAGAAACUCAGUGAACUCGGACACAAACUGCAUUAUGCCAGUCUACCAGAGGGAGGCAGAAGCAAGCACGAGAACUGGGAGACUUACGCCUCGAUCACACAGACUGAGUUUUUGCAUUCUGGUACACCAGUAGUACAUUCAUUUCCAAUGGAACGCUGCGUUUGCCUUGCAGCAUUGCGUUGCAGAGGCAGUUGCAGUGCAUUCUAUGUGGGGCAUACGUUGUAUUUAUCGAAAGUAUGCAUCAAACUGUAUGUGUAGAAGGCUUGACAGAAAUGGUAGCAAAAGGUGAAUGUUGAACUUUUAUUGCACACAUAUCCAGAUGAUACGCGUGAUCAAGGCGUGAGGUCGCGUACCCUUGCUCAGACGUAGCAUGCCUCAACCAAUUGUUGCGUGGCACAUCAUUGACUUAGUCAUCGAGUGACAGUUUGAUAUGUAAAAUACCCAUCCAGGUGUUGUAAUGCCUCAAUCACACCGACAGUGUUAAGAAGUACUUUCAUUUCCAAUGGAAUGUUGUAUUUGCCUUCCACCAUUGCGUUGCAGAGGCAGUUGCAGUGCAUUCUGUGUGGUGCAGUGGCGGUCGGUGCCAUUAAAGAUGAGGGAGGACGAUUUUUUUUUUGCCUCAUUUCUAUUACAGCAUAUUGGAUGACUGUCAUUCAUAUUCCAUUCACCCAGUUUAACAUAGAUUGAUGUAGUAGCCUAAACCUUACUCAAAAUGUCCCUAUCCCAAUCAUGAGGUUGCUUCAACCUAGCCUAUGAAUUCAACGUAGGUGCACACAUGGACAGACGGUGACACAUUCAAUAUUGCCUUGCACACUCUUGCCUGCAUCUAGCUGACCUAGGGUGUAAUCAUUAGUCCAACAGCUGCAAACAAGAGUUUCUAUUGGACAAAUUCAGGUGUGUUUAUCCCCGUUCUGUUUGCUUCCGUUUAAGAAACGUUUUUCAUGAGAAUCGACAGAAUGAAUACACCCCUGAUCACACAAAAGCGGUUCACUUUCAUAGCCACAAACAGCUCGCUAUAUUCCUUCUCACAUCAACGCGCUCUUCUCCUCUCACCUCUUCCCUUGUGGACUUCAAUGCACAACACAUCCGCUGUCUGUCACCAGGCGAAAAAACCUUUUCAAGCCAAACCUUCAUAUCAUAAUGGCAGCUAGCUCACCGUAUUAGCUAAAGUAAUGUCAUAGUCAACAUAGCUAAUAGAACUAAUGCAUUAGUAAACCCGCUACAAUCAUGCAGUUUCAGUGUUGAAUAGUCAUAGUCAGCUAGCUAACAUAGCAUCCCUCUGUUUGAGCCAGGUUUUUGAGUAGGCUAAACUAGCUAGCUGCAUUUGGUAGCUAGCUAAGUAAGUGAAAGAGAAAAACAUGAAAUAUAGCUAGCUCUCUCUUCCUCCUCUAAUUUGAAUAAAUUAACUUGUUUAAAACUGUUUAACUAUUGUCUUUCUCUCUCUUUGAGUCAACUACUCACCACAUUUGAUGUACUGCAGUGCUAGCUAGCUGUUGCUUAUGCUUUCAGUACUAGAUUCAUUCUCUGAUCCUUUGAUUGGGUGGACAACAUGUCAGUUCAUGCUGCAAGAGAUCUGAUAGGUUGGAGGACAUCCUCCGGAAUUUGUCAUAAUUACUUUGUAAGUCUAUGGAAGGGGGUGAGAACCAUGAAGUUCCUAGGUUUUGUAUUGAAGUCAAUGUACCCAGAGGAGGACGGAAACGACCUGUCCUCCGGCUACACCAUGGUGCUACCAUACAGAGUGCUGUUGAGACUACUGUAGACCUUCAUUGCAAAAUAGUGUUUUAAUCAAUUAUUUGGUGACAUGAUUAUAUUUUGUAUAGUUUUAUCUAAAAAGGAUAACUUUUGAAAUGUUUAACUAUUUUCAUUUUUCUGAAAUUCAGUGAGGAGGAUGGUCCUCCCCUUCCUCAUCUGAAGAGCCUCCACUGGUGUGGUGCAUACGUUGGAUUAAUCUACUGAACGUAUGCGUCAAACUGUAUGCGUUGAUGGCCUCACAGAAAUGGUAUCGGAAAGUGAAUAUUGAACUUUUGUUGCACAUAUUCAGAUGAUACUGCAUACCAUUUUAAGCAAAUCCCCUGUCAAUGUGAUUGAGGCGUUAGGUCGCGUACCCCCGCUCAGACGUAGCAUGCAUCAACCAAUUGUUGCGUGGCACGUCAUUGACUGAGUCAGCGAGUGACAGUUUGAUAUAACAUAUGUGGUUAGUUGAUAUGUAAAAUACCCAUCCAGGUGUUGUAACGCCUCAAUCACACCGACAGUGUUAAUUAAUUUUGGUACACCAAAAGUACUUUCAUUUCCAAUGGAACGCUGUGUUUGCUUUGCAUUGCAUUGGCAGUGCGUUCUGUGUGGUGCAUACGUUAGAUUUAUCGAAAGUAUGCAAAAGCUGUAUGCGCAGAUGGCUUAACAGAAAUGGUAGCAGAAGGUGUAUGUUGUACAUCUAGAUGAUGCUGCAUACCAUUUUGCACAAAGACACUGUCGGUGUGAUCAAGGUGUAAAAUCUGUCAUGCGACAGCAACGCCUAGACAGAGGAACGCGACCUCAAACUGUUUUGUCCCUGUUGUAUAACUGCUAUACUAGCAGUUCUCAGCGUCAAUGUUAGCACGGUAUGAGGCCAAAGUUUACAAUACUGCAACGCUAGCCAGCAAAAACUAUAAACUACUAGGAAAAAAUUUAGCAAACUUGUAUAAUAAUUAAU
rnacentral:lncRNA from 8 species